rnacentral:rRNA from 1 species
AUGCAAGUCGAGCGGAAACGGCAACAUUGACUCUUCGGAUGAUUUGUUGGACGUCGAGCGGCGGACGGGUGAGUAAUGCUUAGGAAUUUGCCCAGUCGAGGGGGAUAACUAUUGGAAACGAUAGCUAAUACCGCAUACGCCCUACGGGGGAAAGAGGGGGACCUUCGGGCCUCUUGCGAUUGGAUAAGCCUAAGUGAGAUUAGCUAGUUGGUGAGGUAAGAGCUCACCAAGGCGACGAUCUCUAGCUGGUCUGAGAGGAUGAUCAGCCACACUGGGACUGAGACACGGCCCAGACUCCUACGGGAGGCAGCAGUGGGGAAUAUUGCACAAUGGGGGGAACCCUGAUGCAGCCAUGCCGCGUGUGUGAAGAAGGCCUUCGGGUUGUAAAGCACUUUCAGCAGUGAGGAAGAUGUGUAGAUUAAUACUCUGCAUAUUUGACGUUAGCUGCAGAAGAAGCACCGGCUAACUCCGUGCCAGCAGCCGCGGUAAUACGGAGGGUGCGAGCGUNAAUCGGAAUUACUGGGCGUAAAGCGCAUGCAGGUGGUUUGUAAAGUCAGAUGUGAAAGCCCGGGGCUCAACCUC